rnacentral:tRNA from 1 species
GGGAUGAUGGUGGAAUAGGUAGACACAGCAGACUUAAAAUUUGCUGCCCGCAAGGGCGUCCGGGUUCGAGCCCCGGUCAUCCCA